UACGAAGGGGGCUAGCGUUGCUCGGAAUCACUGGGCGUAAAGCGCACGUAGGCGGAUCUUUAAGUCAGAGGUGAAAUCCCAAGGCUCAACCUUGGAACUGCCUUUGAUACUGGGGAUCUCGAGUCCGGAAGAGGUGAGUGGAACUGCGAGUGUAGAGGUGAAAUUCGUAGAUAUUCGCAAGAACACCAGUGGCGAAGGCGGCUCACUGGUCCGGUACUGACGCUGAGGCGCGAAAGCGUGGGGAGCGAACAGG
rnacentral:rRNA from 1 species